CACUGGUUUCAGACCCUUUCCGCCUCUGGUGGGAGCGCCUGAAGACAAAUGCUCCACUGGCCAGUUAAUUAAGCCAGAUACAGUGCCACAAUCCUGUAAUCCCAGCGACUUGGGAGUCUGAGGUUCAGUUUCUAGCACUGAAAAAAACCCAGACUGACCUGUCUUAUAAGGCUUCCAGAAGAUUCAUCCCUGUAGAAGCACAGUUGUGCAGAUGGACACUGGGACUGGAACCAAACUCAGAGUUCAAGCUGUUAUAGGGCCAGGUGAGUCAGAACUAUAGAGAUGUGCCACACUCUGAAUUGAAUGGAGUCCUUUAUUAUAAGCUAGCUGAUUGAGAAUGUCUCAUGCCAAAAAUUCUCUACAAAGGAAAGGC
rnacentral:lncRNA from 1 species